UACGUACCGAACAAAUCGAAACGAAACGGGGGACAAAAAUACCGGCUGGAAAAUCAAUUGUGAAUCGUGUGCAGAUAAAGGGCAAUUGUUGUUAUCACGUUUUCGUCGGACGAAACGGAAGUACGUGUGUAUUUAUUGACCGGACGUCCACCCGGCGACGCGCUCGACGUUCGUCCACAAAAACCGAGUACACCUACCUGUAUCCAAAGCGCAUCCGAUAAACGAACUUACACAACCAAUACCGAACGCAAACCGUACCGGUACUAUUAAAACGUGCCAGCCGUUUAUCACAAACCGGUCACUUUAUCGGGAAAUUCG